GUCAGGCCAGGAAGGGAUGUGAGG
rnacentral:miRNA from 1 species